rnacentral:piRNA from 1 species
UGGUACACGGUUCAUCGCUUCGCUUGUUUC